AGGACGAACGCUGGCGGCGUGCUUAACACAUGCAAGUCGAGCGAGGCCCACCUUUCGGGGUGGUGUCCUAGCGGCGAACGGGUGAGUAACACGUGGGCAACCUGCCCUUAGCUUUGGGAUAACCCUCGGAAACGGGGGCUAAUACCGAAUGUUCACUGCCGGGCGCAUGUUUGGUGGUGGAAAGUUUUUUCGGCUAGGGAUGGGCUCGCGGCCUAUCAGCUUGUUGGUGGGGUGAUGGCCUACCAAGGCGAUGACGGGU
rnacentral:rRNA from 1 species